rnacentral:lncRNA from 1 species
UCUCCUCCACCACCUUACGAGUAUAAGUCGCCACCGCCACCAUCACCUUCACCACCACCUCCUUAUGUUUACAAAUCGCCACCUCCUCCAUCCCCAUCACCUCCACCACCUUAUGAGCACAAGGCUCCUGCUUAUGAGUACAAGUCACCACCACCACCAACUCCUUCACCACCACCUCCUUAUGUGUACAAGUCACCACCACCGCCAUCUCCUUCACCACCACCUCCUUAUGUGUACAAGUCACCACCACCACCCUCACCUUCCCCACCACCACCAUACUACUACAAGAGUCCUCCACCACCUUCUCCUUCACCUCCACCUCCUUACUACUACAAAUCUCCUCCACCACCCUCACCUUCCCCACCACCACCAUACUAUUACAAGUCUCCUCCACCACCAUCUCCCUCACCUCCACCACCAUAUUACUACAAGUCUCCCCCACCACCCUCACCCUCCCCUCCACCCCCAUAUAUACACAAGGAUCCACCAUACUAUUACAAGUCCCCACCACCACCUUCACCAUCUCCUCCACCACCAUACUACUACAAAUCUCCCCCACCCCCUUCACCGUCUCCUCCACCACCAUACUACUACAAAUCUCCUCCUCCUCCAUCUCCUAUUCCCAAAACACCUUACUACUACAAAUCUCCCCCACCCCCUUCACCAUCUCCUCCACCACCAUACUACUACAAAUCUCCCCCACCCCCUUCACCGUCUCCUCCACCACCAUACUACUAUAAAUCUCCCCCACCACCGUCACCCUCUCCACCACCACCUUACUAUUACAAGUCUCCUCCCCCACCUUCACCAUCUCCUCCACCACCAUACUACUACAAAUCUCCUCCUCCUCCAUCUCCUAUUCCCCAUACACCUUACUAUUACAAAUCUCCCCCACCACCUUCACCAUCUCCUCCACCACCAUACUACUACAAAUCUCCUCCUCCUCCAUCUCCUAUUCCCCGUACACCUUACUAUUACAAAUCUCCCCCACCACCUUCACCAUCUCCUCCACCACCAUACUACUACAAAUCCCCUCCUCAUCCAUCUCCCAUUCCCCAUACACCUUACUAUUACACAUCUCCCCCACCACCUUCACCGUCUCCUCCACCACCAUAUUACUACAAAUCUCCUCCCCCUCCGUCUCCUAUUCCCCACACACCUUACUACUACAAGUCCCCACCACCACCAAAGGUCCUUCCACCACCAUACUAUUACAAUUCUCCUCCUCCACCUGUUGUGUAUCCUCACCCAUAUCCCUACCACCACUCACUUAUUGUGAGGGUAGUCGGUAAAGUCUACAGCUUCAGAUGUUAUGAUUGGAAUUAUCCUGCAAAGUCUCAUAACAAGAAACAUCUCAAAGGUACAUUACAUUUCUUAGGACCGGACCUCUUUAGAGUAAUGUGUUUAGAGAUAAUGCACAAUUUUUUAUUUUUUUAUCUCGUAAAGGUUUAUUUAUUAUAAUCACAAUUUCACUUUUGUCAAAAAGAAAAACAAUUUUACUAUAUAUAGUUUUAAUCAUUAACAUUUUGAUGUAAAAAGAAUACAAUUCUCUAUUACCUUUUUACUAUGAUAUAUAUACAAAGAUUAUUCAAAUCUAUAUAUCCAACCUAAUUUCCAUCCAAAAAAAUAGAAAACAUAGGGUGCUUUGAACGCCUGCAGCAUCACAUGAAUAAAUAAAAACAAUCAAUAAUCAACCUUGUUCUAAUUUAUUUUAGACAGCGAUUGUUAAGCAUACUGCUCUUUUAAUUACAUUUUUUUUAAAGAUGCUCUUUUAAUUAUAUUGUCCUAAUAUAAUAUGUGUCUUUAUAUAUUACUUGUCGUAAACUAAUUUUAUUAUGGGUGCAGGAGCUGUUGUUGAGGUGACAUGCAAAGCCGGGAGCAAAAUUGUCAAGGCUUAUGGAAAAACUAAGAACAAUGGAAAGUAUGCCAUCACAGUUAAGGACUUUGACUAUGUCAAAUAUGGUUCGACAGUGUGCAAGGCUGCCCUAUAUGCUCCACCUAAGGGUUCACCCUUCAACAUACCUACAAAGCUAAAUCAAGGAACAAAGUUGUACUUGAAAUCCAAAGACAAGUACGAGGUUGUGCUCAAGGCUAAGCCAUUUGCUUAUGCUUCAAAGAAACAUUUCAAAGAAUGUGAGAAGCCUAAGCCUUCACCAACUCCUUACUACUACAAAUCACCUCCACCUCCCUCACCAGUUUACAAAUACAACUCACCACCUCCACCGGUCCAUUAUUAUUCACCUCCAUACACCUACAAGUCACCUCCUCCCCCUGUGAAAGCGGCACCAACUCCUUACUACUACAAAUCACCUCCACCACCCGCACCGGUUUACAAGUACAACUCACCCCCUCCACCGGUCCAUUAUUAUUCACCACCAUAUACCUAUAAGUCACCUCCUCCCCCUGUGAAAGCGGCACCAACUCCUUACUACUACAAAUCACCUCCACCUCCCGCACCGGUUUACAAGUACAACUCCCCACCUCCACCGGUCCAUUAUUAUUCACCUCCAUAUACCUACAAGUCACCUCCUCCCCCUGUGAAAGUGGCACCAACUCCUUACUACUACAAAUCACCUCCACCACCCGCACCGGUUUACAAGUACAACUCACCACCUCCACCGGUCCAUUAUUAUUCUCCACCAUACUACUACAAGUCACCACCCCCACCAUCUCCAUCACCUCCUCCACCAUACUAUUUCAAAUACUAUUACAAGUCCCCACCUCCACCAUCACCAUCCCCUCCUCCACCUUAUUAUUACAAAUCUCCUCCUCCACCAAAACAAAUUUCACACCCUCCAUACUACUAUAAGUCACCACCCCCACCAUCACCAUCACCUCCUCCACCAUACUAUUAUAAGUCUCCACCUCCACCAUCACCAUCUCCCCCACCACCUUAUUAUUAUAAGUCACCACCCCCACCAUCCCCGUCCCCUCCUCCACCAUACUACUACAAGUCUCCACCUCCACCUAAAGAAAUAUCACAUCCUCCAUAUAACUAUAAGUCACCACCCCCACCAUCACCAUCCCCUCCCCCUCCAUACUAUUACAAAUCUCCUCCACCACCAUCACCAUCACCACCACCUCCCUACUAUUACAAAUCACCUCCACCACCAUCACCAUCACCUCCCCCUCCAUACUAUUACAAAUCUCCUCCACCACCAUCACCAUCACCACCACCUCCUUACUAUUACAAAUCACCUCCACCACCAUCCCCAUCACCACCACCUCCAUACUACUACAAAAGUCCCCCUCCACCAUCUCCAUCUCCUCCAUCCCCAUAUUACUACAAAUCUCCACCACCACCAUCACCAUCCCCACCCCCUCCCUACUAUUACAAAUCACCUCCACCUCCCUCACCAUCACCGCCACCUCCUUACUAUUACAAAUCACCUCCACCUCCCUCACCAUCACCGCCACCUCCUUACUAUUACAAAUCUCCCCCACCUCCAUCUCCAUCUCCACCACCUCCUUACCACUAUCAAAGUCCUCCUCCACCAUCUCCCAUUUCUCAUCCUCCCUACUACUACAAAUCCCCUCCACCACCAUCGCCGUCUCCUCCACCUCCUUACCACUAUGUGAGUCCUCCCCCACCAGUAAAGUCACCUCCACCACCAACUUAUAUCUAUGCUUCACCACCACCACCUCACUACAACUAAGCUCAAAGAGCAGAAGCUCCGUUCAUUAUAAAUCAUGUAAGUUUAUCAUCUUCAAUUUUCUGAAUGUGUGCGUGUGUAUUUGUUUUUUUGUUACAAGAUACUAACAAAAUUCUUUUCUUAUUUAUGUUCAGGUUUUAGUUUUCAUCUAGGAAUAAAGGCAAGCUCCAUUUGGAGUAAAGUGAAACUUCUAGCUUCGUGUCCGAAUUCGUUAAAUAAAUGUCGGGAUGUAUCGUCUUUGAGCUAUAAUAUUUCUGAUCCAGACAAUAUCUAUUUUGUUUCUUUGGUGGCAAUCUUGCACUUCCUGGUCUUAGUCUAUUCAAGUGACAGACAAAUCAAAAGGGAGAAGCGAGAUUAAUUUAUUUGUGAUCUCUUUGAUUUAUUUGUGCAUAUAUCAAUAUGAACGUGUAUGAUAUUUUUCUAUUUAUUGAAGAUUUUUUUACUGUAACCUGUUAUUGUGUUUGUCAAAAGGUGUUAAUAAAGAAUCACAUUCAAUUUCUGUUAAAUUAUCAGUAUUUGUUUCUUUCUAACAACUACCAUUCAUGCAAAUGUGGCUAUUAAAAAAAGCUCCAAUGACACAUAAAAAGCUUCCAAACAAUAUAUAAACAAAGAUGCAUUGUUUUCUGUUAAGAAGGGGACAGGGUUACGGUUACUUGUGUACCAAGUUAGUUAUCCAUGCUUUCUUGUUCAUAGGAUUUAUAUGGUGUAGUUGCACUUAGUUGCUAAAUGUAUGCAAGCUUUUCCUUUCUAUAAAUAAGCACACCUACUAUCAUUCUUCUCCACAUUCCUUUCUACUCUUCUAUCAUGAAUUGUUCAUCCACAUAAGAUGGUCACAGAGCACACCUAAUACUCUGCUACUGGUGUAUCAGUUCCUUUCCACCAGAAACUUAUGAUCUCUAAUUGAAAGAGAUCCUAAAGUUUUAAGAUUUCUACAAAAUACAUUAUUCUCAUUUUUGUACAAGUAUGAUACAAUUAUUCCCAAGUAUUAUUUAUUCUAAGGAAUAGAAUUUAGUUGUGGUUUCUCUAUUUAACCAACAUUUAUUUUUAAAUAACUAAAUUUAAAAAAAAAAUCCUGAAAUUAUUAAGUACAUACCUAACACAUUGUAAAAUUUUGUUCCCAAAGAAAAUAUUUUUGGCAAUAGAAUUUUCAGGAACUUCAUUCCUAGGAAUAUAAUUCUAUACUAAGAGAAGAGCUUAAGCAUUGAUACAUAACAAGACCAAUCCAUAUCCUAAUCACAAUCCUACUUUCACUAAAUACUUUCACUUAAGUGUGGUCUUGGAAAGGACAAAUGAAGAAAGACAUUCCAGAGGUAUGGUAAGGGACAAUAUCUGCAGUUAUGCACAUAUUGCAAGAUUGUGAGGAACUACCGGACUGAUUUGAUUCACCAAAAAAUUUGGAAUAAAUAUUUCAGCCCAGAACUCAGACAAUGACUGGAUUGGAACCUUUCAGCUUCUAAUAUCGGUACUGUCCAAGGAAAUAGUCAUUCUCUUUUUGGAGUAGCUGUGAAGGAUUUAUGGAAAGAUAGAACUAAGCUGGUCUUUUCUAGAAACACCGCGAUUGGAACUACUCUAUUUUGGCUUGUAGCCAAUCCGGCUAAGUUUAUUAACAAUGUAGUUUGUACUCAAGCUCACAGUCACGAUGUUGUCAGCAACAGUGGGCAUAUUGUUUAGGUAGCCUGGAAUUUUCCUCCCCAACACUUCUUCAAAGUGAAUAUGAUGGAUCUCUACGGGAUUAUGUUAGUUUCCAGGAUCGAACUCAGAACCUCCUGAUUAUAACUCCUUCAAUGUAUGUCCCUUACCCACGUGGGGCCUCGGCUGUAAUUGUUAACAUGGUAAAAUUUGGCUCUUCCAAUAAUGGUUUUAUCCAAACUCGAGGUUGUUUAUCGUCUCCAACAAUCAGAUUGGAGAAUACUAGUGGUUCAUGCAUUUGAACAAACCAACUGUUGUGCAGAUUUUCUAGUUGAUUUUGUUUUUCCUUUUUUGAGUAUUUUAUUAGCCAAUGAUAUAAGAGGUUGUAGCCUACCUCUUUUGAUUUCUUAAGACAAUCACUUUUGCAUUAGAAAAAAACGACCCUACAUAAAAUUAAUGAUUGAAUUAAGAUAUAACUUCAGUUUGAAAUAUUGUAAAAUUCUAUACCACCAAAAACUGAGAAUUUUAGAACCAUACAGGUUGGUGGAGUGGUCAUCCAGAUAACUUUAACAUAAUUAACAGUCCAAAAAGUAAAUAGCUUUAUCCUUUAUUUUCAAUCUGAUGUGAUUUACUCUUAUCUGUUAAACAUUAUAAUUAAGAAUCCAAAGGGAACACUCACCUAAUCUCUCUCUUUUUUCUAGCUUUUUCACUAAACCACUGUGUCUGUGGUUACCACAUUUCCUUAUGGAAUCAAUAUCCAAUUUAUGUUAAAAACCAUUUCUACAUUUUGUGUUAAAAAUGAUCUAAACAAAGAUGAUUUAUUUCUCUUAAAUUCAACAUAGAUCAUAUUUACAUGGUUCAAACUUUCUAUUACACGGCAUUGACUUAGUUGCUUCACAUGGGGACACAACUAAUGCAUAUAUUAUUUUAUAUGCUUAUAGUAAUUUUAACAAGUGGCAAUGGGGCAUAUGUUUUGUCAAAAAAACACAAAAAACAGGAGGCAUGUGCAACUGAAGUCACUGCCAGCUUGGCACUAAGAUAUAGUAAAAUAAUUGACAUUUGAAGAAAACAAAGACGUUGCUACAUUUCUAUUCAAACAAGCGACAUCAAUAUCAGACAAUGGUGCUACAUUUAAUAAUACUACAGCUAUCCCCAUAAGCACCUCUUAGAAAGAAAAAAAAAUAUCCAUUAAAUUAAUGUUGGAAGAGUUAGCAACAUGUCCUCUCCCAAAAAAACUCAUGUUUGAUUCCUAGAGUCGUCCAUUUCGAAAGAAGCUCAACCCUGAUAAUAAAAACCUAGAUGUUAUGCUGCAGACUUAAAGAUCAAUUUCAUAAUGGAUCCAAAGGGCCUAAGCUGUGUGGGAUACUUAAGGGGGUAUAUUGAGGCUAAGGGUCAAAGAUCUUAAUUAUGGUCGGUUAAAAAAAGAAGAAAAAAAAAUUAUCUCUAAAUAUAAAGUCAACAAUAUUUCAAAUUGCAAGAUACAUUUAUUUAUUUUUUAAAUAUGUAUAUACCUCUUAUUAAUACUUACUAAUUUGUUUUGAGUGAUAAAAAGUUACGAGUUAGACAGAUCAGCACAUAAAAAAAGUAUUUGAAAAACAUCUACCAACAAAAUAAACACAUUAAAAACAAUACUACUUUUUUACAAUACUGUAUGUGAAAAUGACAAAAUCUUGAAAAAGAUGGAGGUAACAUGUACUCUUUUUUUUUUAGAGGGGAGCAUGUACUUUUCCACUAACAAUGUUGAUAAGAAACAUAUAAAAUACUAUUAGAGAAAGAAAAAAAAUAAUAAAUAAAGAAAUAUAUAAAAUACUGAGGAAUGACUCACUCAUGUCAAAUUUUAGCAAGGGAGAAGUGAUAUCACAUCAUUUUAGAAGAGGAAUGAGAAUAGAUAGAUCUAAUUUUUCUAGUAAGUUUGAAUAGUAGAAUCAUACUUCUUUGUCUUUUGUGAAAAUUUCAUAUUAUGGGAUCUAUUACUAGAAUACAGGUGAUUUUAUUCUGGAAGAUUGACUUUUUAUUAAAAUAAAAUAAAAGUACAUUUUUUAUUUCCAAAUGCUUAGUUGUUCAUUUAUAAAUAUUACAUUAUCCAACAGCACCAAACCCUAUUUCAUAACGGUACUCUGCACGUUUCAUUCAUUUACUGGUGCCUUAGUUUUUUGUUACAAACAGACAUUGAUCAGAGGAACAAAUGUAGAGACAAAUUGAAGAUAAUAUAUCACAUAAUAUUGUAGACACACCUUCACAUACAAAUGGGGUAAAGUCCCUCAUAGUAGUAUUAGAAAUAACACUUAGAGUAAAAUUUUGCUAAAUUUAACAUGAAAAUAAGUGUAAUGUAUUUUAUAGGCAGCUAUACAUAAUUAUUAAUUAGAACAAUUUUUUACACUGUCAAACAAAAAUUGAACAAUUUUUUACUAGCUUUAUGCUUUAUGAUGUUUUGAUUCCAUGUGCACAUUUCAAUUUUAGAACUAUUCCUUUCUAUGUUACUGAAAUAAUUCUAUCAUUAGGCAUUGACAUUUCCAUUAUGCGUGCACGUUAAAGUGUUUUCCCAAACAGAGAAAUAUUAAGAAAGGUUAAACUUUUGACUUAAAGACACAACUAAAAUAAGAUCCAAGGAAAACCCCAUUGAUUAUUUCUUGCACAAAAUUAAAAACCCCAUUGAUUAUUUCUUGCACAAAAUUAAAAUGCUAAUAAUUUUUCCUGGUCUAUAUUUUUCUCCUUCCGGGAAAUGGCAACAUCACAUGUUCAUCUCAUAAUUGAGAAAACACAUGUCUGGGAAAAUAUCUUAAAGAAAAGGCAGUAAAGUAAUAAAAAGUGCACCAAAUAGAGAUUAACUAGUACUCUUUGCAUGUCAACUAAGUGGUAUAAUUAUGUAUAUCACAUUCUUAAUAUUGAUUAUCUUGAUUGCACGAUAAGCCCCUCAAAUUGCUCAAUCGAUGAUUGCUUGAUAAGCCCAUCAAAUUGCCCAAUCGAUCGAAUCGUAACUUUCGAUAGACAUUUUUUUUAAGAAAACCCAAUUGGAUCAUAACUCCCCAUAGUCAUUUAUUUGAAAUUGUGAGCAAUUUGAUAACUUAUUGAGCAAUCACCAUUGAUUUUAGUCUCAAUUUAUCCUAAUGUUGUAACCCUGGAAUAAUGGAACAGUGAGUAAAUUUGGUUUCUCCGUCUCAAAAUAAGUGUCACAAUUUAACCAUGUGCACUACUCAUCAAAUCUACUUUGACAACAUUUUUUUUACUAAUAUAUAAAGACAAUGUUAGUACAUUACAUGUUCGAUUUGUCUUAGUUAAUGUUUUUAAAAUAUCGACUUUAUUAUAAUUUUUCUUAAUAGACAAUCAAAAAUAUCAAUUGUCAAAAUUGUGUAUUGAUAUGUAUGAAAAUCAAACUAUAACACUUACUUUGAGACGAAGAGAAUAACUAUUAAAAACUAAUGUUCAAAUAGAAAGAAAAGAAAACAAAGAUUCCAUACAAAGCUUGCAAAAUAGCUACAAUCAUAACCUAGAACAAAAAUCAUGACCACACACUAUAUCCAUUUUCCUUUUCCUAAAAAGCAAUUGAAGAUAAAAAAAAAAAAAAUAAUAAAUAAAAAAAAAAAAAAAAAAAAAAAAAANACCACCAUACUACUACAAAUCCCCACCUCCACCAUCGCCUUCUCCUCCACCACCAUACUACUACAAAUCCCCACCUCCACCAUCGCCUUCUCCUCCACCACCAUACUACUACAAAUCCCCACCUCCACCAUCGCCUUCUCCUCCACCACCAUACUACUACAAAUCCCCACCUCCACCAUCGCCUUCUCCUCCACCACCAUACUACUACAAAUCCCCACCUCCACCAUCGCCUUCUCCUCCACCACCAUACUACUACAAAUCCCCACCUCCACCAUCGCCUUCUCCUCCACCACCAUACUACUACAAAUCCCCACCUCCACCAUCGCCUUCUCCUCCACCACCAUACUACUACAAAUCCCCACCUCCACCAUCGCCUUCUCCUCCACCACCAUACUACUACAAAUCCCCACCUCCACCAUCGCCUUCUCCUCCACCACCAUACUACUACAAAUCCCCACCUCCACCAUCGCCUUCUCCUCCACCACCAUACUACUACAAAUCCCCACCUCCACCAUCGCCUUCUCCUCCACCACCAUACUACUACAAAUCCCCACCUCCACCAUCGCCUUCUCCUCCACCACCAUACUACUACAAAUCCCCACCUCCACCAUCGCCUUCUCCUCCACCACCAUACUACUACAAAUCCCCACCUCCACCAUCGCCUUCUCCUCCACCACCAUACUACUACAAAUCCCCACCUCCACCAUCGCCUUCUCCUCCACCACCAUACUACUACAAAUCCCCACCUCCACCAUCGCCUUCUCCUCCACCACCAUACUACUACAAAUCCCCACCUCCACCAUCGCCUUCUCCUCCACCACCAUACUACUACAAAUCCCCACCUCCACCAUCGCCUUCUCCUCCACCACCAUACUACUACAAAUCCCCACCUCCACCAUCGCCUUCUCCUCCACCACCAUACUACUACAAAUCCCCACCUCCACCAUCGCCUUCUCCUCCACCACCAUACUACUACAAAUCCCCACCUCCACCAUCGCCUUCUCCUCCACCACCAUACUACUACAAAUCCCCACCUCCACCAUCGCCUUCUCCUCCACCACCAUACUACUACAAAUCCCCACCUCCACCAUCGCCUUCUCCUCCACCACCAUACUACUACAAAUCCCCACCUCCACCAUCGCCUUCUCCUCCACCACCAUACUACUACAAAUCCCCACCUCCACCAUCGCCUUCUCCUCCACCACCAUACUACUACAAAUCCCCACCUCCACCAUCGCCUUCUCCUCCACCACCAUACUACUACAAAUCCCCACCUCCACCAUCGCCUUCUCCUCCACCACCAUACUACUACAAAUCCCCACCUCCACCAUCGCCUUCUCCUCCACCACCAUACUACUACAAAUCCCCACCUCCACCAUCGCCUUCUCCUCCCCCACCUUACUAUUACAAAUCCCCACCGCCACCUUCACCAUCUCCCCCACCACCCUACUACUAUAAAUCACCCCCACCACCUUCACCAUCUCCUCCACCACCAUACUACUACAAAUCACCCCCACCGCCAUAUGAACACAAGACUAAACCAUACUAUUACAAGUCUCCUCCACCACCAUAUGAACACAAGACUAAACCAUACUAUUACAAGUCCCCACCACCACCUUCACCAUCUCCUCCACCACCAUACUAUUACAAGUCCCCACCACCACCUUCACCGUCUCCACCCCCACCAUACUACUACAAAUCACCUCCUCCUCCAUCACCUAUUCCCCAUACACCUUACUACUACAAGUCCCCACCACCACCUAAGGUUCUUCCACCACCAUACUAUUACAACUCUCCUCCUCCACCUGUUGUGUAUCAUCACCCUCAUCCCUACCACCAUGCAUUGAUCGUGAAGGUAGUGGGUAACGUCUACAGCUUCAGAUGUUAUGACUGGGAGUAUCCUGAAAAGUCUCAUAACAAGAAACACCUCAAAGGUACAUCACAUUACAUUUCUCAAUUCUUUCAUUUUUAUAGAUUUUAUGUACAUCACUAUUGGCUCGUAGUUUCUCAAUACCAUUACAACUAAACUGCAAGUUUCAGUAAUGAGAUUCAUAUAGACAUGUUUUUAUUAACAUCUUUGUUUCUUAGAAAUUAUACAAACACUUAAUUUAGGUUUCUCCAUGUCCAAUAAAGUAAACAAUUGAUAUAUCAAAUUAACAUAUAUGAUAUAUCAUUUACCUCAUUAAAAUUUAAUAAUCCUGCCUAAUAUAAAGAUUCGGUUUGAAAAUGAUAGUUUAGUGAGCUUCUUUAUAAUAACACUCUCCAAUAUAUUAUGUUUUAAAAACAAUUAUAUUUCUAUUUGUCUAAAUUCAAAUUUGUUAUGGGACAGGUGCUGUUGUUGAAGUGACAUGCAAAGCCGGGAGCAAAAUCAUCAAGGCUUACGGUAAAACUAAGAUCAAUGGAAAGUAUGCCAUCACAGUUAAGGACUUUGACUAUGUCAAAUAUGGUUCAACAGUGUGCAAGGCUGCCCUUUAUGCUCCACCUAAGGGUUCACCCUUCAACAUACCUACAAAGCUAAACCAAGGAACAAACUUGUACUUGAAAUCCAAAGACAAGUACGAGGUUGUGCUCAAGGCUAAGCCAUUUGCUUAUGCUUCAAAGAAACAUUUCAAAGAAUGUGAGAAGUCCAAGCCUUCACCAACUCCUUACUACUACAAAUCACCUCCACCUCCCUCACCAGUUUACAAGUAUAACUCACCACCUCCACCCGUCCAUUAUUACUCACCUCCAUAUUACUACAAGUCACCUCCUCCCCCCGUGAAAGCGGCACCAACUCCUUACUACUACAAAUCACCUCCACCUCCCGCACCAGUUUACAAGUACAACUCCCCACCUCCGCCAGUCCAUUACUAUUCACCUCCAUACACCUAUAAGUCACCUCCUCCUCCUGUGAAAGCAGCACCAACUCCUUACUACUACAAAUCACCUCCACCUCCCGCACCGGUUUACAAGUACAACUCACCACCUCCACCGGUCCAUUAUUAUUCUCCACCAUACUACUACAAGUCACCACCCCCACCAUCUCCAUCACCUCCUCCACCAUACUAUUUCAAAUACUAUUACAAGUCCCCACCUCCACCAUCACCAUCCCCUCCUCCACCUUAUUAUUACAAAUCUCCUCCUCCACCAAAACAAAUUUCACACCCUCCAUACUACUAUAAGUCACCACCCCCACCAUCACCAUCACCUCCUCCACCAUACUAUUAUAAGUCUCCACCUCCACCAUCACCAUCUCCCCCACCACCUUAUUAUUAUAAGUCACCACCCCCACCAUCCCCGUCCCCUCCUCCACCAUACUACUACAAGUCUCCACCUCCACCUAAAGAAAUAUCACAUCCUCCAUAUAACUAUAAGUCACCACCCCCACCAUCACCAUCCCCUCCCCCUCCAUACUAUUACAAAUCUCCUCCACCACCAUCACCAUCACCACCACCUCCCUACUAUUACAAAUCACCUCCACCACCAUCACCAUCACCUCCCCCUCCAUACUAUUACAAAUCUCCUCCACCACCAUCACCAUCACCACCACCUCCUUACUAUUACAAAUCACCUCCACCACCAUCCCCAUCACCACCACCUCCAUACUACUACAAAAGUCCCCCUCCACCAUCUCCAUCUCCUCCAUCCCCAUAUUACUACAAAUCUCCACCACCACCAUCACCAUCCCCACCCCCUCCCUACUAUUACAAAUCACCUCCACCUCCCUCACCAUCACCGCCACCUCCUUACUAUUACAAAUCUCCCCCACCUCCAUCUCCAUCUCCACCACCUCCUUAUCACUAUCAAAGUCCUCCUCCCCCAUCUCCCAUUUCUCAUCCUCCCAACUACUACAAAUCCCCUCCACCACCAUCGCCAUCUCCUCCACCUCCAUACCAUUACGUGAGUCCUCCCCCACCAGUAAAGUCACCUCCACCACCAGCUUACAUCUAUGCUUCUCCACCACCACCAAUCUACAACUAGCCUCACAACACCAAAUCACCAUUGGUGAUAAAUUAUGUAAGUUUACCAUUAUUGCAAUCAUAACACUUGCAUCUUUUCCCACCCAUACACACACAUAUCACAUGUUUAAAUUUUAUGUACUAAUCAACAAAAACUCUUAUUUGUUUUCAGGUUCUAGUUUUCAUCAAGGAAUAAAGUCGUCCAUUUGGAGCAAAGUGAAACAACUAGCUCUCUGUCCAAAUUAUUUGAUGGCCAUCUUGCACUUCCUAAUCUUAUUGUGUUCAAGUGACUGGCUAAUCAAAAUGUGGAAGCGAGAUUAAUUUAUUUAUUAUCUCUUUGAUUUAUAUGUGCAUAGAUUGAUAUUUCCCUGUAUGAUAACUUUAUUUUUAUUGAGGAUUUUUUGUAUUGUACCCUGUUGUGUUUGUUAAAAUAAGUAUUAUCAAUGAAGAAUUACCUUCAAUUUCUUUCCACCUAAUUAGUUCUUGUUUCUUUUAAACAACUAUCAAGCAUGUCAGCAAGGCAAAGCAUACCACUACCACCAUAUCACCAUAAAAUGCAUCAUUAUUCAUUGCAUAUGAGAUAAAUAUAUGCAAACUAUAUCUAAUUAUUAAGAGGGGGAAAAAACUAAUGUACAGAAAAUGUACCUCAAGGCUUCAGGAUAGGUGUUAGAAACCCAAGCUUUUAAUAGCUCUCUCCAAGAAUCCUCGUUUCUACAACUUAAGUUCCUAUAUUAAUCAAUUAUAAUAUAUGAGAAACUUAUGUUGUCGACCAACAAUACAGGUGACUCAAAAAAAUAUUAUAUUUUAAAAGUCAAACCUUGAGCUAUACACAUGUAAGCAUCAUCAAUAUAAGUUUCACCAUUGUUCAUGUGUAUUAUUCCAUAAAUUUUGGCUCAGUUGAGGUUACUACACUGGUUUUCUUCCUAUUGUAUCAUAUAUUUAAAUACUAUGGUGCGUUUGGAUAAACAGCUUAUGUCACAAGCACUUAUCAUGAUAAGCGCUUUUGUAUAAACUUGCAUGAGUUAUUUUCAUAUCAAAAGAUAAACAAGAACAUUAAAUUGUUUUUGUAUAUUACUUAAGUUGUUUUCAUAAGCUAUGUUGAAGAACUAAUGAAAAUUAGCUGAAAAAAGCUUAUGCUGUUUUCAUGAAUUCUCCCUAACAGUCUCACAAUAUUUAUGUCAGUAUAUAAUCAAAUAAGUCAAUCCAAACAGGCCCCACGUCUUCUAUAUUAGACCAUAUGACAAUUUCUUUUCGGUUUAUUCUCAUUAAAAGUUAAAAAUGGUGUAUUUGAAUCCUAUAAUUCUUUGUCAUACAAGUGCAUUCAAAUACAAUUUGAAGCCAUGGUGAAAGUGUUUAAUUUGCAGAGCUCACCAACAUAAUCUAACGUAUAUUUGGAUUGACUUAUUUGAACUUAUCUACUAGCACAAAUACUUGUGAGAUUGUUUACGAAAGUUUAUGGAAAAAACUUACAACACACACAUAAGUUGUUUUCAGCUUAUUUCCAUAAACUCUUCAAAAUAGCUUAUGAAACAACUUAUAUGAUAAGAGCUUAUUCUAUAAGCGCUUAAUUAAGUUUUAAUCCAUUCUUCUUCUACCUUCAUCUUCAGUUAACAAAACGAAUACAAUUUCUGAAAAUUCAAAGUUCAAACACCAAAAAAUACCUAAAAUGAAAAAUUGUUGAAUGAAAGCGCAAAUAGAACCUGGCAAUGCGUUCGAGAAGCACGUGGAGGAGGUGGCGUGGCAGAAGAAUGUGUGGAUUUCAUCGGAGAAUUUCAGUUCUGCUCGCGCCAUUUAAGAAAUUUUGUAAACUUAAAGUUUAGUUUAAGUUUACCCCUCUUUUUUUUUCAUUUUAAAGGAGUUUACCCUACAAAUUUUUGUAUGUUUUUGCCACGUUUACAAAUGAUUUAAUAUGUUUUUAUCCUAUAUAUAUUUAGGGAUGUAAAUGGAUAUUAUGAUGCGGAUAGUGUAAUAUUUGUGUCUGUUCCAUUGGAUAAAUAUGAAAUCUGUACCAUAUUCAUAUCGUACGGAUAUCUGUUUAGCGGGUAAUCCACAGAUUUUGAGAUAUUUGAGUGUUUAUAGAUAUAUUCAUUGAUAACAUUUAUAAAAAUAAAAUAAAAAAUUUGUUUAAUUCUUUUUAGAGACAAAGGUUCUUCAUAUGCAUUUUCUUUUCUUUUUAACAAAACAUAAUAUUCAUACAUUAUAAUAACAACAAAGAUCAUUGACUCAACAAAAACAUAAAUAAAGUUGCUUACAUUUAAUAAAAAUAAAGUUAUUUGAUUUAACAAAAACAAAGCUCUUGCAUCAACAAUCCCAACCACUUUCACUUCCUUUUAAAAGAGUGUAAUAACAAAUAACACUCACAAUACAUAAGGUUUUUUUUUAGGAAGUUGAAUGAUAUUAAGGUUAUUUAUGUAAUUUACUCGGUUUAAUAGUCGGUAUGGAUAUCCACGGGUGUGGAUACCGUUAAAUCCGCAUCCAUAUCCAUUAAUUAGCAGGUAGUUAAAAAAUUCAUUUAUUUUAUCCAUUGAUAUCCAUUAAGGUAUCCGCUCCGUGCCCGUGACGGAUUAUAUCCGCGGAUAUUCACGGGUGCGAAUUUUUUUGUCAUCCCUAUAUAUAUAUAUUAGUCUUAAACUUGACUAUUUUUUAUUAUCAUUUGGUGCUAUAAUUAAAAAAAAAAAAAAAAUAUUGUUCGUCUGAGCCAUUUAGCUACAGGCUAUUACUUUUCUCAUUCUACAUGUUUCUCGCUUGUCCUAUUUUUUUUUUAAUACUUUUUGCUCGAAUUCUAAAAUCUAAACUCCUAUAGGGAUUUUUGGAUUCUAUAAUCCAAAACACGUUGAAACCCAAAAAUAAAAUAAAAAACUAUGUAAUUGAAAUCAAAGAUCUCUACUGCUAAUGCACGUUUUCCACAAAAACUACAAAGUAAUUUCAAAGUAAUUUCACAAAAACUAUCGUAUGAAUAGACAGCAAUGAGCAUGAUAUCAUAAAUAACUCAAAACUUUAUAAAAAUAAAAAUAAAAAAAUGAAUAAGAAGAUGUGAAGAAUGAAUGUAAACGUUGGAGGAUACAAAGCUAUUUAUAGACAUAAAAUGUUCCUAGACUCUAAAGUGGGUCAAAGAAAACAUGAAUAACAUUUACAACUUAAUUAACACAUCACAGAUCAUUCAAACCUUUGGUGUAACAUCAUCGUAUGUAGUCUGGCACAGUUUGGAUUAUACAAUCUGAACAUUUCAUAAGCAGUUUGGAUUAUAUAAUUUGAACUAUCCCAGACUGUGUUUCAGCUUGAUGUUUGGAGGGUUUUGUAUGGUGGAUAACACAAAAAAAUGACAUAAUUCAACAACGUAAAAAAUAUAAUAAGAUAAGUGAUGAUGAAAGGGAAGCCGCACCAAGAGGUGUUUUUGAAUUCGAUCCAGUUGUCCUAUCAACUGACAUAUAUUUCUAUUGGCAUGGCAGCAAGAUCAAGUUUCAAAACGACCUUUUUGUGUUCAUAUCCGCAAAAUAAUGAUGAAAGGCAAGGUAUUCCAAGAAGUGUUUUUUAACUUGAUCUCGCUACCUUGUCAACUAACAUAUUUCUAUAGACAGUGCAGCAAGAUCAAAUUUAUAACAACCUCUAGGUGUUCAUAUCCGCUAAGUAAUUUUUCGUAGUUCUUUAUUGUGAUCUACAAAAAAAAAAAAAAAAAAGAUCUAUUUAUAUAAGUUUAUGUGCGUCGCGAACCAGAUAAAUUUUCGAUGCAUUGUGGACCAAAAAAAAAUUCUAAUUCGGACUAAACAAGAUGAAUUUUCCUUCACCCUAGAAAGUAAAAGUUUUGACAAACACAAGACUGAUUAUACAUUAAAUACAACAAUCAGCCAAACUAAACAUAUUAGAUCACAAAUCUUUCAAACUAACUUCUUCAUUGGAUUCCUCCAAGAGAGCCUUGAUUUAUUUGUAUGUUCUAGGCCGAAUCAAUUUUUUUUAAUAUCUUUGAAAGGGCCCGACCAAGAAAACAUCCAACUCAAUUGGUCAUUUAAUACCGUACUGACCAAAUAUUAAAACAUUAUUCUCUUAUCGCAUUGUUCCUGAGUUUAAUCUAGGUAAACUAGAUGCUUUCAUCUUAGCCAAUCGAUGGACUUUGAUGCUCAACAUUGUCCAUCCUUCUUGUGUCUGUGUUGUUGAGUCGACGGUUGAUUUAGUCCAGCUAAUAUUGGACUUUCCCCCAUUGUAGUAAACUACAGUUAGUUUGGUGUCAGAUCAAUGAUUGAAGUGUUCAUGAUUAUUUGGUGUGGUUUAUAGCAAAUGAAAACAAGCACACCAAUUUAUAGAAGUUUAUGUGCGCCGCGGACUACAAUAACUAUUGGUGCAAUGAAGACCAUAGAAAAAGCAUGUACUUGGCUGAUUUGGAUUAUAUAAUUUACAUUGUCCCUCACCCUACAAAGUACAAAUUUCAACACAAUAUUGAACCAAUUCGGAUUAUAGAAUCCAAUCAUUUAUGAGAUAAUUUCGGAUUAUAUAAUUAAAACUAGUUCACAAUGUGAACCGCAGCUUGGUCAGCAAGACUAACUCAUUAAAAAUGUUUUUUAAGUUGGUGAACGACGCUUGACUGGUCAGCAAGACUUGAAAACAAUUUUCGUACCAUGCAUUAAUGGACCAUUACCCUCUAUGAAAUGUACUUCACAAAUUCUCCUUCCGAAUACCCACUAAUACAUCACAAAUUCUUAUUUCAUCUCACAUUCUCUCGUUCUUUUUACUUCUACAAUGUGCUUCCAUAGUUUGUGUUUCAUACAAAAAUGUUACUCUAAUAUUUUAUGGAUUGUAUGAAUGGUCAAAAGGCAAAAAUUGGCACCAUCUGUUUGGAUGUAAGGUUGAUCAUCAAAGUCUAAUCCACUAAGAGAGGAAACAAACCUUACCCCAACCUCAUUCCCCAUUCAUCUUCUUGCACCGCAUGUUUAAAUGAUACUCCCUCCGGUCCUAUUUAUAAGAGAAAGUUAGGUCAACAAAAGUUGAUGUAUCUGAACUGAAUUUUUAACCGGAUACAUCAACUUUUGUUGACCCAAAUUUCUCUUAUAAAUAGGACCGGAGGGAGUAUUUGUACAACCAUUUUGGUACAACUUUUGUACAACUUUCUCUCUCAUACUCACAUUAUGUUUUUAUUCUCUCUCUUACUUUUUUUCUCUCCAUUGUGGUUGACCAAUAAGAAGGGAGAAUAUCAAGGUUGUCACAAAAAUUGUAACAAAAGAGUUGUUCAAAUAUCAUUACUCUUAUCAUUAUGUGUUAAAUAAUUUUGUGUAAUAAGCUUCAAUGACAAUGUAAAUAUACAAUAAAAGAUAUAAAUUAUUCAUAAAAUGAAAAUUUUAUUCAUUUAUCUUUUUAUAUUUUUGUCUCUUUUAGUUUCAGUCAUUUUCAAUUAUGCAUUCUUAAUAUUAUGUCAAUGUUGAUCAAUAAUUAUUGGCAAAAGAAGUUUUCAUGUUAUAGAAUAUGAAAAUCCCUGGUACCAAAAAAAAAAAAAAUCUGAAAAUCCCUCUAUAGGAUUUCAGAUUUUAGAAUCCGACCAAAUGGUAUUUUGAAGAGAGAAAAAUAGUGUGUCUAAGUAACUCAUGUUGAGAAAAGUAAUAGCCUUAAUUAUGUCUCCGAUAAACAUUUUAUUCCCUUCCGUUAAUCAGUUAAUCCCAAAUGUCUAAGGUGAACCAAUAUUAUAGGUGGUCUACCAUAAACCUCAUAACAAUUUUAAGGUCAAAUACCACUUUUGGUCAUUUUAGUUUGACAGAAUUCUCAAGUUAGUCAUUUAAGUUUCGAAAGUUUCAAUUAGGUCCUUUUAGUUUGACAGAAUUCCCAAGUUAAUCCUUUAAGUCAUAAAAUUCAGGGGAGCAAAGUAGAUACUCCAGUUUUCAGAGGCGGAGACAUAGUCAUGUCAAAAGCAUCCCACAUCCUAUUACCACCUACUUGAACUCAUCAAGCUUGGUAUGGACCAUUCACAGUAACAUGUGUAUGUAGUCUCGUGGAGAUCUGGGACAAUAUCAAAUGGCAUGCUAAGGUGAAUCGACACAAACUGAAGCAUGUUAAAGAUUGCAUCCGGAAAAUGAAAGUUGAAGAAGAUGAACCUGCUUUGAAGAGGUUCAAGGGCACAACAUAGACUUAUUCUCCAUGUUCAAGAUGUAAAACACGCAUUGAACGAGAGACAACCCAUUAAUUUAUUUUCUCCGUUAUUUGUCUUGUGUCAUUUUUGCUCGAAUUUUUUGCCGUCAAUUCUUUAUGAAUUAUCAGUCAUAUUAUAUUACACACUAGACAAUUUUUUUGGUACCUUGAGCCUUUUCAAUCCGCCCUUAUCAUCAUUAUAUCCUUUGCUAAAUCCCUUUGAGCUUCCAUGCAUUAUUUCUUUUGUUUUUUUUAUUAAGUAACAAAUCAUGUCACAAGUUUGAACUUUUAAUGCCAUCUAUUUGAUUUCUUUUAUAGUUAGAUAGAAUAUUUUUAAGAACUUGGUAUGAUUUGAAUAUAUGUUAGGGUUAUAAGGGAGAAAUGUAAUGGCAAAGAGGAAGAGCAAGAAAAGAGAUGAAAGAUGAAGGGACAUUAGGCAGACUCAAUCACGGUAGUUAGAAUGAUUGCCUUCUGUUUUGCAGUAAUUUGCAUGAGCUUCACUUUUCAAGUAGAGUAAAAAAAACAGGAAUAGAUAGACACAUUUCUUCUAAGUUUGAGUAGUGAGUGAUAACACUUCUAUGUAAUCCCUAAAAAAAAACACUUCUAUGUAAAAAAAUCACAUGGGAAAUCCAUUCCUAUAGUACACGUAAUUUUGAUCUGGAAGGUUGACUUUUCAACAAAAUAACCUAAAAUAAUUUGUUCAUAACAUAAUAGAGGAAUCUAGAAGUGUUCGCGGUGCGGUUUGAUUCGGUUUUGAGCAAAAAAGUCAUCCAAACCGCGCGAUAAAAAAACAUGUGGUUUGGUUCGGUUGAUUUUUAAAAAAUCAUCCAAACCAAACCAAACUAAACCAAUACGGUUUGGAUUGGUUCGGUUUGUGCGGUUUAUCGCGAGAUAAAAAAAAAAUAUUACAUUAACUCUAAUAUUUCCAAAUUGUUACAAAAUAAACAUAGAACGUUUUUUUAUUUAUUUUUAUAUGAUAAAAUAUUAGGUAAAACUCAUAUCAAAAUAGGUAAAAUUAAGAAGAAUUUAUAAGCAUGAAACAAAUUAUUGGAAAGUAAAGGAAACAAAUUUAAGUAAUAUUCAUUAUUCUUGCAGCUAUGUAAUUGGGCUAGAAACAUUUUAUUUUGAUGUUUAUAUCGAACAUGAUGGUGCAACAAUGGAAAAAUCAAAUCAAAAAAGAUUAUUCUUGAGCUAUGUAAUUGAGCUAGUACAUAUUUAAGUAAUAUUCAUUAUUCUUGCGGUUUGGUUUGGUUUGAUUCGGUUGCUGAGAUGCAAACCGCAAAUCAAACCAAACUGUAUGUUUUAGUGCAAAAGUCAUCUGAAUUCAUCCGAAAUCAAGUACGAUUUUUUACGAUUUUGAAUUGGUUUAAUUUGCCGUUUUUCUAUUGGAUUGGUUCGGUUUGAACGAUCUGCAUGAAUUCUUCUAGUUGAUUGUUGGACUAUUUUUAAUUGGCAAAGGCUUAGUUGUCCAUUUAUAAAUAUAAAUACUAUUAUUACAUUAUCCAAUCCAAUAGCACCAAAACCAAUAUAAUAAUGGUAAUUUGCAAUUUUGCACGUUUCAUUCAUUUAUUGGUGCCUUAAUUUUGGGUUACAGACCGACAUUGAUCAGUUGCUAAAAAACCACUGCAUCCUUAUUUUUUACGAGGUAGAUGCAUCGGACAAAUAAACCGACAAACAAAGCUAUUCAGAAAGUGCUCAGAAAUUUUUUGUGCCCCAACAGAAAAUAUUAAGAAAGUCUUGCUACACAGUGUCUUGUAUACAAGUGAAAUAUGUGUGGUAUUAUGCACAAGUUUAUUUUUACAAGUUGAUAUAAGAAUCUAAGUAUAUUUUUAUGGAAAAUUAAUGCUAACAAAUACUUUCAAAGCAUUGUUUAAGCAAUCAAUAUUAGUAACUUUUGCAUAGAAAUAUGUGUGAUUAUUAUUUUUUCAUAUGUUUUAUAUGUUUUCAAGAAAAUAUUUUUAUUUAUGGUUUUUUUAAAUAGUGUCCUUAGGUACUUGUUAGCAAAAUCUUAUUUAUAUAAGUUGAUCUAAGAAUCUCAUUAUUGUAUCGAGUGAGAUACGGCCAUACCGAAGCUUAUGGAUUCCAUAGUGGAAAAAUAACUUUUCAUCAGUGCAAUACUAUUUUAGUUGUAGAAUUUCUUUUCUUGUGUGUCCUAUUUCAGAUUUUAAAAUCCAAACAAUCGAAGGUUUAUGAAGGUUUUUCGAACAUUUUCGCACUGUUUGAAUUAUAUGAUCUGAAAUGUCAUAGAACAUGCGAGAAGCAAGUUGAAUGAAAUAAAAAACUCCUGCUCAAUAGAAUUAUUUUACUUGGUUAUUGUUUGAAUUUUAUUCUCCUUCAAAGACGGCAAUGUGCAAUUGUGCAUUUCAUCCGGAGAGUGGCAACAUCUCAUGCAUGUUCAUCUCAUAUAACUGAGAAGUCACAUGGCUUGGAAAAUCUUAAACCGAGAAAAACAAAAGGAGUAAAAGUAAUAAUAGUGAACCAAAGUGAAGAUGAACUUGUAGUCUAUCAAAAGAAGAUGAACUUGUUCGUCUUGGCAUAGUAACUCAUUUUUAUUCCUUGUUACCUAUGAAACACGGACAAUAGAUACAACACGGACACCAAUACGUUAAUACCGUUAAUAAUAUAAAAAAAUAGGUACAUUGAAUAAUUAAUGUAUUUGACCUAUAAAUGUGACCAGAUAUAUUAAUUAUUCAAUGUAUCUAAAAAGUUGGUUUUUGUUUAUAAAUAUGAUCAUAUGGAGUACUACUUUAGUGUAAUUUUAUGUAUUGGUACUGCGAGACAUCUAAUCUAAAGAGUGUCAAUGUUUUCACACAUAUUACUCACCAAAGUGCACACAUUAUAUGCAUUUAGGUAAACUGAGUUCAUCCAAAAUUGUAACCGCACAAACAGAGGGCCGCUAGGAAAUAUGAGGUAAAUUUGGAUUAUUCUUUAUCAAAAGCUUAUGACCAAAGAAAAACUAUACAAAAACUAAUGUUCAAAAAGUACAUAAAGUAAUAAUGCAAAGUCAAUGUGUAUAUAUAUUUCACCAUUAAAUAAAAGGGGAAAAAAAUCUCCAUACACAGCUUGCAAUAGCUACCAUCAUGGCCUAAAGCAAAUAUCAUAUGACCACUAAAAAACAAUAGAAAAUAAACAAAUAAAAAGAGAAAAACAAAAGAGAAAAUGGUAUAAAGAAAUCAUGUAGUAGUUAGUUUUUUCUCAAGAUGGGCAACUCAGCAGGGCUGCUAGGAGGAAAUUACAAAAGAACAUGACACUUAACUUCUCUAAUCAUUCAAAAUUUGUCAAGAUGCUGAUUAUAUAUUUUAAUUAGUAGUUAGAGAUUGUUAUAGUAACGUGUUCUAGCCAUCAAGAAUAAAACAAUGUCAUGGAAAAGAAGUGGCCUACUAGAAGAAUUAAUUUAAAGCAUUUACACCAAAAUAAAAACAAAUUGAAUAUUGGAAUUGGUCCUUCAUGAUAGCUUCCCCUUAACAACUAACUCUAACUAUAAAUACUGAAUCUUGCAUGCAACAUUUCAUAGUAAACACUAAGACCAAAACCUCUUCUUUCUAUCCAUGACUGCUAGGGCUAGUUGCCCCAAAAUGGGGCAUUUUUGGCCACAAAUGGCAAUGGCAUUGGCCAUUGUUUUGAUUUCUACUACUAUGGUUUCUGCUUCUGAUAGCUACAUUUACUCUUCGCCUCCACCACCUUAUGAGUACAAGUCCCCACCACCGCCGUCUCCCUCACCACCUCCUCCUUAUGUGUAUAAGUCACCACCUCCCCCAUCCUCGUCACCCCCACCACCAUAUGAGCACAAGGCUCCAUCUUAUGAGUACAAGUCACCACCACCACCAACUUCUUCACCACCACCUCCUUAUGUAUACAAGUCACCACCACCACCAUCUCCUUCACCGUCACCUCCUUAUGUGUACAAGUCACCACCACCUCCAUCCCCAUCACCCCCACCUCCUUACGUGUACAAGUCACCACCACCACCCUCGCCUUCCCCGCCCCCACCAUACUAUUACAAGUCUCCUCCACCACCCUCGCCUUCCCCACCGCCACCAUACUAUUACAAGAGUCCUCCACCACCCUCUCCUUCACCUCCACCUCCUUACUACUAUAAAUCGCCUCCACCACCCUCACCUUCCCCUCCCCCACCAUACUAUUACAAGUCUCCUCCACCACCAUCUCCCUCACCACCUCCUCCAUAUUACUACAAGUCUCCCACACCACCUUCACCCUCCUCUCCACCCCCAUAUAUACACAAGGAUCCACCAUACUAUUACAAGUCCCCACCACCCCCUUCACCAUCUCCUCCACCACCAUACUACUAUAAAUCUCCCCCACCACCCUCACCCUCUCCACCCCCACCUUACUAUUACAAGUCUCCUCCACCACCUUCACCAUCUCCUCCACCACCAUACUAUUACAAAUCUCCUCCUCCUCCAUCUCCUAUUCCCCAUACACCUUACUAUUACAAAUCUCCCCCACCACCUUCACCAUCUCCUCCACCACCAUACUAUUACAAAUCUCCUCCUCCUCCAUCUCCUAUUCCCCGUACACCUUACUAUUACAAAUCUCCCCCACCACCUUCACCAUCUCCUCCACCACCAUACUACUACAAAUCCC